rfam:TPA: Bos taurus chromosome 13, whole genome shotgun sequence.
UCCUUGGUGGUUCAGUGGUUAGGACUCAGCGCUUUCACUGCUGAGAGCCUGGGUUCAAUUCCUGGUCAAGGAA